GCGGGUGAAUAGUUUUUAGAUGUUAUAAUGACAGCCAUAAAUUAUAGUUUAUGGGUAAGCUGUUCCACGCUGAUGCACUUAAGUAGCCAUCUGAUGGGCUUCUGCUAAAAAAAAUUAGGAUCCCCCACCCUCACCGCAGACUGUAUCCAGGAUUAUGUGGCUGCUGUUAAUAAGGGUAGCUGUUUGCUCUGGGGAGGUUAUAUCCUCCUGCUAGACACCCAC
rnacentral:lncRNA from 1 species